CGCUCCAGCGUCUCUGACUCGCCUGAAGAAAGGACAAAGUGUCCAAACACACAGAAAAACUCCUGCUGAAGCAGCUGAGAUCCACGUGACACACUUUUAUAAAGAUGGCAUUUAUUAAAGAGGAGAGUGAAGACGUGAAGAUUGAAGAAGCAUUCAGAGACAAACAUGAAGAUACUGAGGAACAAACAGGUUGGUUUUCAUUGUCAAAGCUGAAC